CAGACCAUUAAAAGUUAAAUAAAUUGGAACAUUAUGAUUCAUUGGGAAACACAUUUAUGUGGCAGUUUCUAAGUUCCCUCAUGAUCUUAAAGUUCUGUGUCAUCUCAAGUUUCCUUCACCUUCUUUGAGAUACAAGGUACCCAGCCUGACUAGAAUUUUUUGCCUAUGCAAUACCUUGAUAUGUGACCGAAAAUAUUUGUUAUUAUCUAAAGAUACCAAAUAUCUUCAUGGAAAAUUAAUGCUUUCUUAGUGUCUUAUGAAGAGGCUGAGAAAGGCAGAGGAUUGCCCCUGAUUCAAGUCCCUGUCUCUCUCUUCCUAUUCCCAGCAAAUGACCAUUUGUAUAUUGUCUAUUAAUAGAAAAUUAAGUUACAGAGUAACAGGUAUCAAUAGUAAUAAGUCAGAAUAUCAAAAUGUAUAUGAAGUAAAAUUUAACCACUUUUCUUUCUAAUCAUCCUCCUUCAUAUUUUUUAAACAAUAUUCAUGAAUUCUCUAAUACUCCUCUCUUCAAGAAGUGAAGUCAGAUUCCUGGAGGUGAC
rnacentral:lncRNA from 1 species